GACGAACGCUGGCGGCGUGCUUAACACAUGCAAGUCGAACGAGAAGAGAUGAGAAGCUUGCUUCUUAUCGAUUCGAGUGGCAAACGGGUGAGUAACGCGUAAGCAACCUGCCCUUCAGAUGGGGACAACAGCUGGAAACGGCUGCUAAUACCGAAUACGUUCUUUUUGUCGCAUAGCAGGGGGAAGAAAGGGAGGCUCUUCGGAGCUUUCGCUGAAGGAGGGGCUUGCGUCUGAUUAGCUAGUUGGAGGGGUAACGGCCCACCAAGGCGACGAUCAGUAGCCGGUCUGGAGAGGAUGAACGGCCACAUUGGAACUGAGACACGGUCCAGGACUCCUACGGGAGGCAGCA
rnacentral:rRNA from 1 species